rnacentral:rRNA from 1 species
GACCUGGCCGGGCGGUCUGCCUCGCGGCAUGUACUGUCUGGCCGGGCCUUACCUCUUGGUGAGCCGGCAUGCCCUUCACUGGGUGUGUCGGGGAACCAGGACUUUUACCUUGAGAAAAUUAGAGUGUUCAAAGCAGGCUUAUGUCUGAAUACAUUAGCAUGGAAUAAUAAAAUAGGACGGUGGUCCUGUUUUGUUGGUUUCUGAAUCACCGUA